UACGAAGGGGGCUAGCGUUGCUCGGAAUCACUGGGCGUAAAGGGCGCGUAGGCGGCCAUUCAAGUCAGAGGUGAAAGCCCAGGGCUUAACCCUGGAAUUGCCCUUUGAUACUGUUUGGCUUGAGACCGGAAGAGGUUAGUGGAACUGCGAGUGUAGAGGUGAAAUUCGUAGAUAUUCGCAAGAACACCAGUGGCGAAGGCGGCUAACUGGUCCGGUUCUGACGCUGAGGCGCGAAAGCGUGGGAGCAAACAGG
rnacentral:rRNA from 1 species